rnacentral:rRNA from 1 species
CGUCUAGGCGGCCUUUUAAGUCUGAUGUGAAAAUGCGGGGCUCAACUCCGUAUUGCGUUGGAAACUGGAAGGCUAGAGUAUCAGAGAGGUGGGCGGAACUACAAGUGUAGAGGUGAAGUUCGUAGAUAUUUGUAGGAAUGCCGAUUGGGAAGCCAGCUCACUGGAUGAAUACUGACGCUGAAGCGCGAAAGCGUGGGGAGCAAACG